rnacentral:rRNA from 1 species
AGAACGAACGCUGGCGGCAUGCCUAAUACAUGCAAGUCGAACGAACACUUCGGUGUUAGUGGCGCACGGGUGCGUAACGCGUGGGAAUCUGCCCUUGGGUUCGGAAUAACAGUUGGAAACGACUGCUAAUACCGGAUGAUAUCGAAAGAUCAAAGAUUUAUCGCCCAGGGAUGAGCCCGCGUAGGAUUAGCUAGUUGGUGAGGUAAAGGCUCACCAAGGCGACGAUCCUUAGCUGGUCUGAGAGGAUGAUCAGCCACACUGGGACUGAGACACCGGCCCAGACCUCCGUACGGGAGGCAGC